GAUAAAGAACGUAGCGAAAUGCGAUACGUAAUGUGAAUUGCAGAAUUCAGUGAAUCAUCGAAUCUUUGAACGCACAUUGCGCCUGCCAGCACUCUGGCAGGCAUGCCUGUUCGAGCGUCAUUUCAACCAUCAAGCCCUAGGCUUGCGUUGGAGCCCUGCGGCUGCCGCAGGCCCCUAAAAGCAGUGGCGGGCUCGCUAUCACACCGAGUGCAGUAGAUUACUCUUCGCUCAGGGCGUGUGGCGGGUUCCAGCCGUGAAACCCCCUACUUCUCAAGGUUGACCUCGGAUCAGGUAGGAAUACCCGCUGAACUUAAGCAUAUCAAUAAGCGGAGGA
rnacentral:misc_RNA from 1 species